CCCUUGGCCUGAACUGGGGAGGGGGCGCCCUCCACUCACCGCCUGAGUCCCUGGAACGAAGAGGGCCAGGACAUCCUGGAUUUCUUCAGGCCGGGUCGGUGGCCCGUCUCCACGGCGUAGGAGGUGCGGUCCAUGGCGCGGCAGUACAGAUAUUGGAGUUUUGUGGCACAGUCCAAGAGGGUCUUUGUGAGUUUCUGGGUUACUUUUGGACAUUCCUGAAAGCUAUCAGCACUUACCAUCAGCACAUCAGUAUAAAAAGUGAAAAAUCAGGUAAGGAUCCUAGGCAUGGACAAAAUGGCAACUUGGCCAAGGGCACACAACCAGUAGAUGAAGCCAGGGUUCCUUCCGACUGCCCACUCCAGAGCUCAUACUCCAGAGUGUCCUGUGCACUUCUCUGCAGUUCCUGUACCUGGUCCACUAUGAAUACGUCUUGUAACCAAGGACACUGUCAAGUUCCGCAUGAAUGAAGCAGAAUGUUCUAUUUAAGAGAAGGAAUGUACGUGUCAGGCGGAGCUACUUUGAAUUCCUAGAACUUGUGUGUUUUUGUCAAGCUUUGUAACUUUGCUGAGUCUUAGAUUCCUUAUCUGUAAAUCAGUUAUUCAUGAUAACAGUUUGUAAGGAUCAAAUAACCUAUAAUUACCAAUCUAUAAUUACUAAAUAAAUAAUCUAUAAUUACUAAAAGGCAUUAGAAAUUUAAAUCCAGGCCUCUCUUGCCUUUAGAUUUGUGCAAAAUACUGUUUAACGUACCUAGCAAAUAUACAAAAAACUGAGACAUUUAUGUGUUCUCUCUUCCUCCCCCAUCAUACGGUUAUUGUAAGGAAACACAAGGAAAGGCACUCCAGAUGCCCAAAUUAGAGACCUUUGAGUGACAGGAGACAGAUUCCUUCCCACGUGUCAAGAUUAGCCCCCCAAGUUUUCACUUAUAAGCCUCUAAGGGGUCUGUGAAUAUUUUAGGUGAUUAUCCAAGACCACCAAAUGCAAUUCCUAAUGUCACUUUAGCUAUUGUUAAUUGGAAGAUGAAAAAGUCUAACUCAUUAAAUUGAAUGGCUUUUCCUCAAGUGACAGACGUGUUAUACUUUCCAGUAGUACCACAAUUCUCCCUUAAGUUCUGAAGUAAACAAAGCUGCAAAGAAGCUCUAGGCAUUGACAGAAGCUGAGUUUCUUAAUCUGUCCUCAAGGAAUACACGUUCCUCCCAACAAGGAGGAAUUAGGAUCAGUACCUGGGGCACCCGACAAACUAACUUGGAGUACAGCCCAGUUCGUCGGUUGCUUUACAAAUGUGACAUUUUAAAGGACGUAGUACCUUUUUUUUUAACACUGGGAAAAGGUGCUGUUUAUUCUGAUAGAAUUAUCCAGCUUCCAUAUAGCUUGUGAGUAGAAUAGAAGAAAAUAAAAACUUCAGAACAGGGUGGCAGAUGGGGAAUAUAUGGAAUGGCAUUUGGCACAGUGGCUAAGAUGCCACUUGGGCUACCACCACAUUGUAUUGGAGUGCACGAGUUUUCUGUCCAAUUCCAGCUUCCUGCUAAUGCUCACCUCAGGAGGCAGUAGGUCAUGAUGGCUCAAGCGCUUGGAUCUCUGCUACCCAUGUGGGAGGUCUUGAGGGAGUUCUAGGUUCCUGACUUUGGCUUGGCCCAGUCCUGGAUGUUGAGGGCAUUUGGGGAGUGAGCCAGUGAGUAUGGAAGAUCUCUGCCUUCCAAAUUAAAAAUGAAUAAAUUAAUUAAUUAAAAAAGGAAAAAAUAUAAAUUUACAUUCAAGACAGGCUGCCCAACAUGUUAGCUUUUUAACAUGUUUCGCUUGCAUACUCUAUCUUCUUAGAGACUUGACACAAUGGUGCAUGAUUUUGUCUGUUUUGAUCUGCGUAGUUGUGACACAGUAUUGGAAGAAGGAGAAGGCAAAGAACCAUCAUUCUGCUCAGCAUGACACUACCAUCUGAAAAUAAAUGGAAGAUCCAGUCUAAUAUUACUAAGGCUGAGUAAUUCUUCCCCCUAGCUCCAUGCAUGGCAAACAGCAUAUUUUCUUCAUGCAUAAAUAAUAGAAAUCUCAUCUUUUGAACACACUGAAUUGUUCUGAAUGCUUUGUGGAGAGUGCCAAGUGCAGAUCUAGAUUUAUUUGCAAGUGGCUUCUGUGCAGGUUCAAAUAUGUGGACUCACUGACCAAUUAUAAACCACAGAUUGGGCUAAUUGGCCCACUUCUUCUUUGA